CCUACGGGUGGCAGCAGUGGGGGAUAUUGCACAAUGGGGGAAACCCUGAUGCAGCGACGCCGCGUGUGGGAAGACGGUUCUCUGGAUUGUAAACCACUGUCCCCAGGGACGAAGAUGACGGUACCCGGGGAGGAAGCUCCGGCUAACUACGUGCCAGCAGCCGCGGUAAUACGUAGGGAGCGAGCGUUGUCCGGAUUUACUGGGUGUAAAGGGAGCGUAGGCGGGGAUGCAAGUUGGGGUUAAAGACUACUGGCUCAACCGGGAACCGCACUCAAAACUGCCGCUCUUGAGUGAAGUAGAGGCAGGCGGAAUUCCUGGUGGAGCGGUGAAAUGCGUAGAUAUUAGGAGGAACACCAGUGGCGAAGGCGGCCUGCUGGACUUUUACUGACGCUGAGGCUCGAAAGUGUGGGGAGCAAACAGGAUUAGAUACCCUGGUAGUC
rnacentral:rRNA from 1 species